rnacentral:lncRNA from 1 species
GGCAGGUGUUUUUGUUGUUGCAGUUGUUGUUGUCGUUGUUGUUGUUGUUGUGGCAGGUGUUGUUGUUGUUGGGGCAGGUCUUCUUGUGGCAGUUGUUGUUGUAGUUGUUGUGGCAGGUGUUGUAGUUGUUCCUGUUGUUCUUGUGGCAGGUGUUGUUGUAGUUGUUGUUGUGGCAGGUGUUGUUGUACUUGUUGUUGUGGAGGGUGUUGUUGUUGUGGCAGGUGUUGUUGUAGUUGUUGUGGCAGGUGUUGUAGUUGUUGUUGUGGCAGGUGUUGUUGUAGUUGUUGUUGUUGUGGCAGGUGUUGUUGUGGUUGUCGUGGCAGGUGUUGUUGUACUUGUUGUUGUGGAGGGUGUUGUUGUGGCAGGUGUUGUUGUUGGGUCAGGUGUUUUUGUCGUUGUUGUGGCAGGUGUUGUAGUUGUUGUUGUGGCAGGUGUUGUUGUAGUUGUUGUUGUGGCAGGUGUUGUUGUGGUUGUUGUGGCAGGUGUUGUUGUACUUGUUGUUGUGGAGGGUGUUGUUGUUGUGGCAGGUGUUGUUGUAGUUGUUGUGGCAGGUGUUGUUGUAGUUGUUGUUGUUGUUCUUGUGGCAGGUGUUGUUGUCGUUGUUGUUGUUGUGGCAGGUGUUGUUGUAGUUGUUGUUGUUGUGGCAGGUGUUGUUGUGGUUGUUGUGGCAGGUGUUGUUGUACUUGUUGUUGUUGUGGCAGGUGUUGUUGUGGUUGUUGUGGCAGGUGUUGUUGUACUUGUUGUUGUGGAGGGUGUUGUUGUUGUGGCAGGUGUUGUUGUUGGGGCAGGUGUUGUUGUAGUUGUUGUUGUGGCAGGUGUUGUGGCAGGUGUUCUUGUACUUGUUGUUGUGGAGGGUGUUGUUGUUGUGGCAGGUGUUGUUGUAGUUGUUGUGGCAGGUGUUGUAGUUGUUGUUGUUGUUCUUGUGGCAGGUGUUGUUGUAGUUGUUGUUUUGGCAGGUGUUGUACUUGUUGUGGAGGGUGUUGUUGUUGUGGCAGGUGUUGUUGUAGUUGUUGUGGCAGGUGUUGUAGUUGUUGUUGUGGCAGGUGUUGUUGUUGUUGUUGUUGUUGUUGUGGCAGGUGUUGUUGUGGUUGUUGUGGCAGGUGUUAUUGUACUUGUUGUUGUGGACGGUGUUGUUGUGGCAGGUGUUGUUGUUGGGGCAGGUGUUGUUGUCGUUGUUGUGGCAGGUGUUGUUGUGGCAGGUGUUGUAGUUGUUGUUGUGGCAGGUGUUGUUGUAGUUGUUGUUGUUGUGGCAGGUGUUGUUGUGGUUGUUGUGGCAGGUGUUGUUGUACUUGUUGUUUUGGAGGGUGUUGUUGUUGUGGCAGGUGUUGUUGUAGUUGUUGUGGCAGGAGUUGUUGUAGUUGUAGUUGUUGUUGUGGCAGGUGUUGUUGUAGUUGUUGUGGCAGGAGUUGUUGUAGUUGUAGUUGUUGUUGUGGCAGGUGUUGUUGUACUUGUUGUUGUGGAGGGUGUUGUUGUUGUGGCAGGUGUUGUUGUUGGGGCAGGUGUUGUUGUCGUUGUUGUCGUUGUUGUGGCAGUUGUUGUUGUAGUUGUGGCAGGUGUUGUAGUUGUUGUGGCAGGUGUUGUUGUAGUUGUUGUUGUUGUGGCAGGUGUUGUUGUAGUUGUUGUGGCAGGUGUUUUUGUAGUUGUUCUUGUGGCAGGUGUUGUUGUAGUUGUUGUGGCAGGUGUUGUUGUACUUGUUGUAGUGGAGGGUGUUGCUGUUGUGGCAGGUGUUGUUGUAGUUGUUGUGGCAGGUGUUGAAGUUGUUGUUGUUGUUGUUCUUGUGGCAGGUGUUGUUGUGGCAGGUGUUGUGGCAGGUGUUGUAGUUGUUGUUGUGGCAGGUGUUGUUGUAGUUGUUGUUGUUGUGGCAGGUGUUGUUGUGGUUGUUGUGGCAGGUGUUGUUGUGGUUGUUGUGGCAGGUGUUGUUGUAGUUGUUGUGGCAGGUGUUGUUGUAGUUGUUGUUGUUGUUGUGGCAGGUGUUGUUGUACUUGUUGCGGAGGGUGUUGUUGUUGUGGCAGGUGUUGUUGUACUUGUUGUUAUGGAGGGUGUUGUUGUUGUUGUUGUGGCAGGUGUUGUUGUAGUUGUUGUGGCAGGUGUUGUAGUUGUUCCUGUUGUUCUUGUGGCAGGUGUUGUUGUACUUGUUGUUGUGGAGGGUGUUGUUGUUGUGGCAGGUGUUGUUGUAGUUGUUGUGGCAGGUGUUGUAGUUGUUGUUGUGGCAGGUGUUGUUGUAGUUGUUGUUGUUGUGGCAGGUGUUGUUGUGGUUGUCGUGGCAGGUGUUGUUGUACUUGUUGUGGAGGGUGUUGUUGUGGCAGGUGUUGUUGUUGGGGCAGGUGUUUUUGUCGUUGUUGUUGUGGCAGGUGUUGUUGUGGCAGGUGUUGUAGUUGUUGUUGUGGCAGGUGUUGUUGUAGUUGUUGUUGUUGUGGCAGGUGUUGUUGUUGUUGUUGUGGCAGGUGUUGUUGUACUUGUUGUGGAGGGUGUUGUUGUUGUGGCAGGUGUUGUAGUUGUUGUGGCAGGUGUUGUUGUAGUUGUUGUUGUUGUUCUUGUGGCAGGUGUUGUUGUCGUUGUUGUUGUUGUUGUGGCAGGUGUUGUUGUACUUGUUGUUGUGGCAGGUGUUGUUGUGGUUUUUGUGGCAGGUGUUGUUGUACUUGUUGUUGUUGUGGCAGGUGUUGUUGUGGUUGUUGUGGCAGGUGUUGUUGUACUUGUUGUUGUGGAGGAGGGUGUUGUUGUUGUGGCAGGUGUUGUUGUUGGGGCAGGUGUUGUUGUAGUUGUUGUUGUGGCAGGUGUUGUGGCAGGUGUUCUUGUACUUGUUGUUGUGGAGGGUGUUGUUGUUGUGGCAGGUGUUGUUGUAGUUGUUGUGGCAGGUGUUGUAGUUGUUGUUGUGGCAGGUGUUGUUGUAGUUGUUGUUGUUGUGGCAGGUGUUGUUGUGGUUGUUGUGGCAGGUGUUGUUGUGGUUGUUGUGGCAGGUGUUGUUGUAGUUGUUGUGGCAGGUGUUGUUGUAGUUGUUGUUGUUGUGGCAGGUGUUGUUGUAGUUGUUGUGGCAGGUGUUGUAGUUGUUCCUGUUGUUCUUGUGGCAGGUGUUGUUGUAGUUGUUGUUGUGGCAGGUUUUGUUGUACUUGUUGUUGUGGAGGGUGUUGUUGUUGUGGCAGGUGUUGUUGUAGUUGUUGUGGCAGGUGUUGUAGUUGUUGUUGUGGCAGGUGUUGUUGUAGUUGUUGUUGUUGUGGCAGGUGUUGUUGUGGUUGUCGUGGCAGGUGUUGUUGUACUUGUUGUUGUGGAGGGUGUUGUUGUGGCAGGUGUUGUUGUUGUUGUUGUUGGGGCAGGUGUUGUUGUCGUUAAUAUUGAGGCAGGUGUUGUUGAAGUUGUUGUUGGGUCAGGUGUUGAUGUAGUUGUUGUUGUGGCAGGUGUUUUUGUUGUGGCAGUUGUUGUUGUUGUUGACGCAGGUGUUUUUGUUGUUGCAGUUGUUGUUGUCGUUGUUGUUGUUGUUGUGGCAGGUGUUGUUGUUGUUGGGGCAGGUCUUCUUGUGGCAGUUGUUGUUGUUGUUGGGGCAGGUCUUCUUGUGGCAGUUGUUGUUGUAGUUGUUGUGGCAGGUGUUGUAGUUGUUCCUGUUGUUCUUGUGGCAGGUGUUGUUGUAGUUGUUGUUGUGGCGGCAGGUUUUGUUGUACUUGUUGUUGUGGAGGGUGUUGUUGUUGUGGCAGGUGUUGUUGUAGUUGUUGUGGCAGGUGUUGUAGUUGUUGUUGUGGCAGGUGUUGUUGUAGUUGUUGUUGUUGUGGCAGGUGUUGUUGUGGUUGUCGUGGCAGGUGUUGUGUUACUUGUUGUUGUGGAGGGUGUUGUUGUGGCAGGUGUUGUUGUUGGGGCAGGUGUUUUUGUCGUUGUUGUUGUGGCAGGUGUUGUUGUGGCAGGUGUUGUAGUUGUUGUUGUGGCAGGUGUUGUUGUAGUUGUUGUUGUGGCAGGUGUUAUUGUACUUGUUGUUGUGGACGGUGUUGUUGUGGCAGGUGUUGUUGUUGGGGCAGGUGUUGUUGUCGUUGUUGUUGUGGCAGGUGUUGUUGUGGCAGGUGUUGUAGUUGUUGUUGUGGCAGGUGUUGUUGUAGUUGUUGUUGUUGUGGCAGGUGUUGUUGUGGUUGUUGUGGCAGGUGUUGUUGUACUUGUUGUUUUGGAGGGUGUUGUUGUUGUGGCAGGUGUUGUUGUAGUUGUUGUGGCAGGAGUUGUUGUAGUUGUAGUUGUUGUUGUGGCAGGUGUUGUUGAAGUUGUUGUGGCAGGAGUUGUUGUAGUUGUAGUUGUUGUUGUGGCAGGUGUUGUUGUACUUGUUGUUGUGGAGGGUGUUGUUGUUGUGGCAGGUGUUGUUGUUGGGGCAGGUGUUGUUGUCGCUGUUGUCGUUGUUGUGGCAGUUGUUGUUGUAGUUGUGGCAGGUGUUGUAGUUGUUGUGGCAGGUGUUGUUGUAGUUGUUGUUGUUGUGGCAGGUGUUGUUGUAGUUGUUUUGGCAGGUGUUGUUGUACUUGUUGUGGAGGGUGUUGUUGUGGCAGGUGUUGUUUUUGGGGCAGGUGUUUUUGUCGUUGUUGUUGUAGUUGUUGUUGUUGUGGCAGGUGUUGUUGUGGUUGUCGUGGCAGGUGUUGUUGUACUUGUUGUGGAGGGUGUUGUUGUGGCAGGUGUUGUUGUUGGGGCAGGUGUUUUUGUCGUUGUUGUUGUGGCAGGUGUUGUUGUGGCAGGUGUUGUUGUAGUUGUUGUUGUUGUGGCAGGUGUUGUUGUGGUUGUUGUGGCAGGUGUUGUUGUACUUGUUGUGGAGGGUGUUGUUGUUGUGGCAGGUGUUGUAGUUGUUGUGGCAGGUGUUGUUGUAGUUGUUGUUGUUGUUCUUGUGGCAGGUGUUGUUGUCGUUGUUGUUGUUGUUGUGGCAGGUGUUGUUGUACUUGUUGUUGUUGUGGCAGGUGUUGUUGUGGUUGUUGUGGCAGGUGUUGUUGUACUUGUUGUUGUUGUGGCAGGUGUUGUUGUGGUUGUUGUGGCAGGUGUUGUUGUACUUGUUGUUGUGGAGGAGGGUGUUGUUGUUGUGGCAGGUGUUGUUGUUGGGGCAGGUGUUGUUGUAGUUGUUGUUGUGGCAGGUGUUGUGGCAGGUGUUCUUGUACUUGUUGUUGUGGAGGGUGUUGUUGUUGUGGCAGGUGUUGUUGUAGUUGUUGUGGCAGGUGUUGUAGUUGUUGUUGUGGCAGGUGUUGUUGUAGUUGUUGUUGUUGUGGCAGGUGUUGUUGUGGUUGUUGUGGCAGGUGUUGUUGUGGUUGUUGUGGCAGGUGUUGUUGUAGUUGUUGUGGCAGGUGUUGUUGUAGUUGUUGUUGUUGUGGCAGGUGUUGUUGUAGUUGUUGUGGCAGGUGUUGUAGUUGUUCCUGUUGUUCUUGUGGCAGGUGUUGUUGUAGUUGUUGUUGUGGCAGGUUUUGUUGUACUUGUUGUUGUGGAGGGUGUUGUUGUUGUGGCAGGUGUUGUUGUAGUUGUUGUGGCAGGUGUUGUAGUUGUUGUUGUGGCAGGUGUUGUUGUAGUUGUUGUUGUUGUGGCAGGUGUUGUUGUGGUUGUCGUGGCAGGUGUUGUUGUACUUGUUGUUGUGGAGGGUGUUGUUGUGGCAGGUGUUGUUGUUGUUGUUGUUGGGGCAGGUGUUGUUGUCGUUAAUAUUGAGGCAGGUGUUGUUGAAGUUGUUGUUGGGUCAGGUGUUGAUGUAGUUGUUGUUGUGGCAGGUGUUUUUGUUGUGGCAGUUGUUGUUGUUGUUGAGGCAGGUGUUUUUGUUGUUGCAGUUGUUGUUGUCGUUGUUGUUGUUGUUGUGGCAGGUGUUGUUGUUGUUGGGGCAGGUCUUCUUGUGGCAGUUGUUGUUGUUGUUGUUGUGGCAGGUGUUGUAGUUGUUCCUGUUGUUCUUGUGGCAGGUGUUGUUGUAGUUGUUGUUGUGGCGGCAGGUUUUGUUGUACUUGUUGUUGUGGAGGGUGUUGUUGUUGUGGCAGGUGUUGUUGUAGUUGUUGUGGCAGGUGUUGUAGUUGUUGUUGUGGCAGGUGUUGUUGUAGUUGUUGUUGUUGUGGCAGGUGUUGUUGUGGUUGUCGUGGCAGGUGUUGUUGUACUUGUUGUUGUGGAGGGUGUUGUUGUGGCAGGUGUUGUUGUUGGGGCAGGUGUUUUUGUCGUUGUUGUUGUGGCAGGUGUUGUUGUGGCAGGUGUUGUAGUUGUUGUUGUGGCAGGUGUUGUUGUAGUUGUUGUUGUGGCAGGUGUUGUUGUGGUUGUUGUGGCAGGUGUUGUUGUACUUGUUGUUGUGGAGGGUGUUGUUGUUGUGGCAGGUGUUGUUGUAGUUGUUGUGGCAGGUGUUGUUGUAGUUGUUGUUGUUGUUCUUGUGGCAGGUGUUGUUGUUGUUGUUGUGGCAGGUGUUGUUGUAGUUGUUGUUGUUGUGGCAGGUGUUGUUGUGGUUGUUGUGGCAGGUGUUGUUGUACUUGUUGUUGUUGUGGCAGGUGUUGUUGUGGUUGUUGUGGCAGGUGUUGUUGUACUUGUUGUUGUGGAGGGUGUUGUUGUUGUGGCAGGUGUUGUUGUUGGGGCAGGUGUUGUUGUAGUUGUUGUUGUGGCAGGUGUUGUGGCAGGUGUUGUUGUACUUGUUGUUGUGGAGGGUGUUGUUGUUGUGGCAGGUGUUGUUGUAGUUGUUGUGGCAGGUGUUGUAGUUGUUGUUGUUGUUCUUGUGGCAGGUGUUGUUGUAGUUGUUGUUUUGGCAGGUGUUGUACUUGUUGUUGUGGAGGGUGUUGUUGUUGUGGCAGGUGUUGUUGUAGUUGUUGUGGCAGGUGUUGUAGUUGUUGUUGUGGCAGGUGUUGUUGUUGUUGUUGUUGUUGUGGCAGGUGUUGUUGUGGUUGUUGUGGCAGGUGUUGUUGUACUUGUUGUUGUGGACGGUGUUGUUGUGGCAGGUGUUGUUGUUGGGGCAGGUGUUGUUGUCGUUG